CCUGUAUUUUUUAAUAAAAGCCCAAAGGCAAAGCAGGAAGGUGUUGUUCAGUGUGACACAUAUGGGGAUCUCAAUCCAGCUGCCAGCUUCCAGAGCUACAGGGACACUUCUAGCCAUGAUGGAUUUUGAAGCCACCUUGAGUUGUCUUUGUUCCUACUAAAGAGGAGUACAAAAACUCCCCUGUACUCACAGGGGUACUAGACCCAGCCCAGUUCUCUGGAAAACACGACCAGAGGAAAACAUGGUCUAUAGUAUGAAUUGUUCUAACUCUGUGCCAUGUGCAGCAUUACUGCAGGAGUGAACGUCAGUGCAUGAGCAUGCCCUGUUUUUAUCCCUUAUCUUGCCCUCCCUGGAGGUGGAAGCUCCUACCAGCUCAUCCUCAGCUGCCCUUAAAAUGGAUUCAUUUCCAUCUUUGUGAGCAGACCCCCUGCAAGUACAGUUCUGGUGGUAAUCAUGCUGGCCACCUCUCCAUGCAUCCUUCCUACCCCAGCCCAUCAGUGUUUUCUUGAGUAAAGUCCUCUGGAUGACAAAGGCCAGGAUUCAGCCAGGUCUGUUUAUGAUGUGUUAAUCACUUUGCAGCAUGAACCGCCAGACCCCCACGAGUGAGCCAGUUCUCAGGCACAGCUGGCUCCUAGAGAAAGGAUAAUUUAUAAUCAUGACACUUCCAAGGUCUCUCUCUUUUUCUCCCCUUCCCCUUCAUAGUCCUUGUUCUCAUCCCAACUGGUGAAUGUGGGACAGACCACCCCAGCAUUUGCAGGGGGAGGCUGCUUUUCUGGUUUCCUAGCAUAAUGCUGUCUCAUCCUGAAACUGCAUAUUUGGUGCACUUUUAUUUGAACUCAUUUGCAAAAUGACAGAUGUUUCUGAUACGAUAAGAAACGUGGCCCAGAGGCGCUGCAGAGCUGCUUGUGCUCCUCACCUGAAUCACAAAUGAGAUAAUGCUUUCUUAUCUGUUAAAAAACACGAGCAACUGCACAUAUAAAUAACACGUCACUAAGUGCCAGCUGUUUGUGCCAAUGACAUUUUUCUUAAAAGAACAGCUCCCCCCGUCAUCUGCUUUCUCUCUUGUAGAAAAUCUGGAGCUCUUUUGCAAGCACAGCAGAAAAGAUGUUUUUUCUUUUUUAAGCUGCAGUUACUUUAAAAUAAUUCCAUGUGAGCAAAAAACAGCUUUUAUGACUCAGAGAUGCCCUUCAUGAUACAACAGGAGCUGGCCAGAUAUAAUCCCAGCCUUCCUCUUCAGUUCUGCACCCUCAUGUGAAGAGACCAUUUUUGCCUGGAGCUGAAUAACCCCAAGAUGCACCUCUGCUGCCUGCCUGCAUGAAGAGGCUGGUUAUUAUCUUUGAUACUGUGACAUUCUGUAAAGCAGCACUGAGUACCAGGGAGUGACAGAGCAUCUCCUGUGCUGUGCUGAUUCAUGGCAUGAACUUGUGCAGAGUGAUGAAAUACCUGGAUCAUGUCAAGAUGGCUCAUUUCUAGAUAGUAGCUAAUAUCUAAAUACUAGAUGUUAUGUGACAAGCUUGAAGGCCAGAAGAUAAUGUUCAGGGAUGAUGUCUGUACUCAAAAACAUAAUCUGCUGGAAGCCAAUGUAACUUUACGUGUGAGUGUGGAGAAUAUGCAUGACUGUAAAUUCAGGAACAGGCUGAUACUCAAGUACAAGGUUGAAUAAGAAAGGUUAAAAAAACUUUUUCAAAGAAAGCCUCUGAAGUCCAAGUGUACUGUUUAUCAUCUUGUUGUACCAAAACAAAAUGUGUACUUUGUAAUAUACUGAGAUGUACUUUGACUUGGAAUUUUCCAGAGUCAUCAGUGUGGUGUUGUUUUUAAUCCUUUCUCAUCUUGCUGUUUUCUGACUUCCUUUUCCAGGCUUUGAAAUUUUUAUCCUGAAUUUCUUCUUUUGCUUUUAAUUAAAUAAAAAAAAAAAAUAGUGUUUUAUCCUCAGAGUCUACUGCCACACUACAGAAUUUAAAAGUCGCAGUGUUUCACACACCUCUAGCGGCAAACCCUCUUCGUUGCCAAGACAACCCUGAAGAAAUACGAAAUCCAGAACAAUACCCUGUGUACGAGGAGCCUCGUAUUCUCUGGCGCACGCGUUCGUUGUGAAUGUCAAGGGAAACGCUGCCCUACCCUCCACAGCGACCCAGCUCAGCCUCCUCCCAAUUGCAUCUAAACAACUCUUCAUGUGACUCUGCAGCAAGCCACAUCAGGAACUGCUGGUAGUUAAGACUGUGAACAAGAAACCCUGUAAAAUAGAAAGGAUUUUUGUUUUUUCCUCUUUUGUGUAUGUGUUUUGGUUUGGUUUUUUGCUUCAACUAGACCAGUGCCUGAUCAGCAUUGCUCCCAGGAACAGCUACUCUGGCCCAGCUGAAAGGCCUGAGUGUUGUGUAGCGGGGGGGACACUGGCAGGGGCUGAUGGUGGGAACUCUGUGACAGCACUGCCACCAAAAUCUGCAAAUCAGGAAACCGUAGCCAGUAAAACAUUGCUUCAUUCAGCAGCAAAACAGAACAGCUGCUGUGUCUC